GAUGAACGCUAGCGAUAGGCCUAACACAUGCAAGUCGAGGGGCAUCACAUGAAGUAGCAAUACGGAUGGUGGCGACCGGCGCACGGGUGAGUAACACGUAUGCAACCUGCCUUCAACAAGGGGAUAACCCGUUGAAAGACGGACUAAUACCCUAUAACACAGGGGUCCCGCAUGGGAAUAUUUGUUAAAGGACAACCGGUUGAAGAUGGGCAUGCGUUCCAUUAGCUAGUUGGCGGGGUAACGGCCCACCAAGGCAACGAUGGAUAGGGGAACUGAGAGGUUUAUCCCCCACACUGGUACUGAGACACGGACCAGACUCCUACGGGAGGCAGCAGUGAGGAAUAUUGGUCAAUGGACGCAAGUCUGAACCAGCCACGUCGCGUGAAGGAAGACGGCCCUACGGGUUGUAAACUUCUUUUAUACGGGAAUAAAGUGCCCCACGCGUGGGGUUUUGCAUGUACCGUAUGAAUAAGGAUCGGCUAACUCCGUGCCAGCAGCCGCGGUAAAU
rnacentral:rRNA from 1 species